CCGUCACGUCAUGGAAGUUGGUAACACUUGAAGUCGCUGGGUGAACCCAUUUAUUUGGGGCACAGGUGCCGAGAGUGGGAUCGAUGACUGGGACGAAGUCGUAACAAGGUAGCUGUACCGGAAGGUGCGGCUGGAUCACCUCCUUU
rnacentral:rRNA from 1 species